rnacentral:rRNA from 1 species
UACGAAGGGUGCAAGCGUUACUCGGAAUUAUUGGGCGUAAAGAGCUCGUAGGCGGCCUGUUGCGUCCGCUGUGAAAGCCCGGGGCUUAACCCCGGGUCGGCAGUGGAUACGGGCAGGCUAGAGGUAGGUAGGGGAGAAUGGAAUUCCCGGUGUAGCGGUGAAAUGCGCAGAUAUCGGGAGGAACACCGGUGGCGAAGGCGGUUCUCUGGGCCUUACCUGACGCUGAGGAGCGAAAGCGUGGGGAGCGAACAGG